GCGGGUUGCCUCAAACGGCCGGGGGGGGGGGGGGACUACUUUCUUUCGAGCCGAGGAAGGGAGGCGCGCACCACUUGCGGAGAGAGGCUGCUUGUUUGCUUUAGCUUUGCAACAGUGCUUCUUCUCCCAUGCAUCGGAAGGGGGGCGGGGGUAGGGAGAAACAGCUUGGGGCUGGUGGUUUUCCCAGCUCGGAGAAGCUCCCGAGUGACCCCGAAGCAAAGUGGCCCUUGCCAAAGUCCGACGCUGGGCCAGCACUUGGACCAAAGUGACUGCGCUCAGACGCCCCUCCCCUUCCCAAACUGCGCCUUUCCCGCCUUCGCCAGGAACUCUUGUCUGCAGAGCCGCGAGACGCUGGGGCGCGAGGCGGCUGGCGACUUUGCUGCUGAGCUGAAACUGCUAAUUUCUGUGACCAGCUUUUUUUCUUAGCUGUGAUCUGGAUGAAUGAGUAGCUGUCUCACAGAGAUGACAAAAAUAAACUCUAAUCCCCCCAAAAAUUUCCACUACAUCUUUCUCAUGCAUAGAUUUAUGAUCUUCAGACACCCAGUGCAAUAUGCAAACUUUUUUGUCUGAAUGGAAUGCAGCUGGAUUCCACAUUACACAAUAUGUGUGUGUGUGUUUUGUGCCUCUUCUAUUCAUGUGGUGGAAAUGUCUCAUCUCAGUACAUGAAAUAUUGUUGCACACACAUCCCAACUGUCUGUGUUAUUAGUUUGACAGGGUACAUCCUCCGUUCAUGCAUAUGCGAAGGGAAGAGAUAGAAGGAGCAGAGGUAAAGUGAGGCUAGUGCAUAGUAUUAGUAGUAUAACAGUUCCUUUUACUGUGGUUCAUUUGCCCUAUCGACGAUUUAUGCUCUUGUUUGAAAGCAUAUUUUCACUGUCAUUUUGUCUGGCUAGACAACCGUCUCUGUACUUCACUGUCAGCUGCUCAACAGAUAAGGGUUCAGAAGUCACUUUUUAUUGUCAGAUUAGCAUAUUGUCAGAUUUGUCUUUCAUUUUAGAGACUACAGUGCAAGAAGCCUGAAUCAAACAGCAAGAAAGCAAUUUCUCUUGAACAAAUAUAUACUGACAACUUUUUGGCUUGAUCCAGGAACUUGCCCCAUUCAUUGUUUGGGCCAGUUGUUGGUAUCGCAUUGCAAAACUGGGUCACAGUUAUUUGAAAACAUUUUGGUAUAUUCCUUUCACCAAUGAACAAUGGGAUAGAGGGCAAGUUCUCCUCACUUUAUCCCAUGAUAUAUUGCACCCUCACAUUUAUAGCGCUGUUCUUCUGUUGUCAGAACUCCAAUUGCCCAAAAAGAAAGGCAUGACCUUGAAUGAAAGGAGACUGGAAAGCAGCACAUCAUGAAGUUGUAAGCUGGUGUGAAAUCCUAAAGAUUCUAAACUAAUAAGCUUCUUGUAAUUAAAAUGCGUGCCAGGGGGUUGAUCUUGAACACUUGCCCUUAUUUUCUUCCUCCUUGAUAGCAAAAGAAGGCAAAAGCAUCUGCUUAUAAAAAGGAAAUAAAAUGGAAGUUGUACAGGAAAUGGGAAGACCCAUCUUGCAGUAUGACAACUGAAAAGGAAAUAAAAUGUAAAUGAGUUAUGCCAGGUGAUUCGAAUUAUUCUGCAUUUCUUGUAGUCUUCUCUACUAUUUAAGUGCCUUUCUGUUUUAUGUUUCAUGACUUAGUCCUUUGCAUUAACACCCAACAGGAUUGAUAAGACAUUUUUUUCAGAUGGGGAGGGGAAGAUCUGAGAAAUCCAGUCCUUGAAACCCACAUUCAGGCUCAUUCCGCACAUGCAGAAUAAUGCACUUUCAAACUGCUUUCAGUGCUCUUUGAAGCUGUGCGGAAUGGCAAAAUCCACUUGCAAACAGUUGUGAAAGUGGUUUGAAAACUCAUUAUUUUGCGUGUGCAGAAGGGGCCAUAAACUCCACAAUGAUCCUUUAUAGAUCUUUAUUGAAGACCACAAGAACUAGAAUCUGAAGCAAGAUGGACAUAAUUCCAUGCACCGUGUUAUUUUUGUUGCUUCCUAAAUUUGGUGGUGUGCUGACAAUAAUUUCAGAGUUCUCAACAUAACUCAAAAAGAGUUUCAUCCCUCAAAAAAUCAUUAGAUUUAGAAGAUCAUAAUUCUACUUAGUAUUGCAUAAGAGCAUGGAAAGCUCCUUUGAACAUAUUCUAAGGAAAUAUAUAUACUGUGGGAGAAAGUAUACUGUGAAAUUUUUAUACACAAACAUUUCAACAUCAGCAGCUGUGGACUGUUACCAUACUCUAGCAUCUGGGAAACAUUUUUUUCUGUCAUUCUAGUACUGCUGAACUUUACUGUAUUAUUUUCUUUUAUGACUGUAAAUAAUCCCAGAGGGUAUUUUGUGCAGUUCUUCAUUAAAUUAUUUGUCACAGAAGCCUAUGCCACUCUAAGUUGCAACAAGAUGCCUUUGGAGGUUUUGUCAGACUCAAAACUAUUUUAAUUGCAUUCUCAGUACUAACAACUAGUACCAUUAUGCAUACUGGUAGGAAAUAAUUGUGUUGUUUGCUAUCCAUACAGUUCCCAAAGUCUUGUUGUAUAUAUAUAGUAUUCGCAAUUGAUUGAUAUUCAUUGUCAUUGCAAGAUACAAUAUACUUGAAUGUGAAGUCUGUAUUUCUGACAUUGGUCCUGUUGCUUCCCUUUAGAGCAAUUUUUAUGAAGUGAAACCAGUCAGGCAUUAAAAUUCCACAAAGUUUAAUUUGCCUAUAUUUAUAGCAAGAGAAAAAAAUGGGGGUAGCAGCUCUGUUACUGUACAAAAAGCAGAGGGUUGGAUCCUAUUUCUUAUCCCACAGAUGACUGCCAACAUUCAAUAUUACUUGCAUGUCAACCCUUCAUAUUAGCUACUGGUCUGUUUGCUUUCAACUUAAAGAUACGCCAUUCCUUCUUAGAGGUUUUGUGAGAUGGCAUUCUUUUGGAAUUCAGAAACUUGUGAACUGACUUUUUUUUGCUUGCUGUACUACUAGUGAUAUUAUUUAGAAAGUAUGUAUUCUGCUCUAUGACUAUCAGUAUGUGAUAUAACUUGGUGUUCUCAAACAAAAAAAAUCUCAGCAA